GGGAUUUUUACAUAUACAUCCCAUAUAGCAAACCUUAUUACCAUUAUUGUGCCUUGUUUGGAGGGAUUUUUACCUAUACAUCACAUAUAGCAAACUUUAUUACCAUUAUUGUGCUUUGUUUGGUUAUUACCCGCAUAUUCCAUGUUUUCGUUACCAAAUAUGUACCAAACCAUAUGUGGCUGAUAUUAUAGCCUAAUAUUGCGCCACAUUUUAAGGCUCCCAAUUAAUAUUUG
rnacentral:lncRNA from 1 species